CCAGACUCCCACGGGAGGCAGCAGUAGGGAAUAUUGCUCAAUGGGGGAAACCAUGAAGCAGCAACGACGCGUGGAGGAUGAAGGUUUUCGGAUUGUAAACUCCUUUUGUUAGAGAAGAUAAUGACGGUAUCUAACGAAUAAGCACCGGCUAAAUGUGUGCCAGCAGAAGAGGUAAUACGGAGGGUGCAAGCGUUACUCGGAAUCACUGGGCGUAAAGAGCGCGUAGGCGGGAUAGCAAGUCAGAUGUGAAAUCCUAUGGCUUAACCAUAGAACUACAUUUGAAACUGUUAUUCUAGAGUAUGGGAUAUGUAGGUGGAGUUCUUGGUGUAGGGGUAAAGUCCGUAGAGAUCAAGAGGAAUACUCGUUGCGAAGGCGACCUGCUAGAACAUAACUGACGCUGAUGCGCGAAAGCGUGGGGAGCAAACAGGAUUAGAUACCCUAGUA
rnacentral:rRNA from 1 species